AAAUUGAAGAGUUUGAUCAUGGCUCAGAUUGAACGCUGGCGGCAGGCCUAACACAUGCAAGUCGAACGGUAACAGGAAUCAGCUUGCUGAUUCGCUGACGAGUGGCGGACGGGUGAGUAAUGUCUGGGAAACUGCCUGAUGGAGGGGGAUAACUACUGGAAACGGUAGCUAAUACCGCAUAACGUCGCAAGACCAAAGAGGGGGACCUUCGGGCCUCUUGCCAUCGGAUGUGCCCAGAUGGGAUUAGCUUGUAGGUGGGGUAACGGCUCACCUAGGCGACGAUCCCUAGCUGGUCUGAGAGGAUGACCAGCCACACUGGAACUGAGACACGGUCCAGACUCCUACGGGAGGCAGCAGUGGGGAAUAUUGCACAAUGGGCGCAAGCCUGAUGCAGCCAUGCCGCGUGUAUGAAGAAGGCCUUCGGGUUGUAAAGUACUUUCAGCGGGGAGGAAGGGAGUAAAGUUAAUACCUUUGCUCAUUGACGUUACCCGCAGAAGAAGCACCGGCUAACUCCGUGCCAGCAGCCGCGGUAAUACGGAGGGUGCAAGCGUUAAUCGGAAUUACUGGGCGUAAAGCGCACGCAGGCGGUUUGUUAAGUCAGAUGUGAAAUCCCCGGGCUCAACCUGGGAACUGCAUCUGAUACUGGCAAGCUUGAGUCUCGUAGAGGGGGGUAGAAUUCCAGGUGUAGCGGUGAAAUGCGUAGAGAUCUGGAGGAAUACCGGUGGCGAAGGCGGCCCCCUGGACGAAGACUGACGCUCAGGUGCGAAAGCGUGGGGAGCAAACAGGAUUAGAUACCCUGGUAGUCCACGCCGUAAACGAUGUCGACUUGGAGGUUGUGCCCUUGAGGCGUGGCUUCCGGAGCUAACGCGUUAAGUCGACCGCCUGGGGAGUACGGCCGCAAGGUUAAAACUCAAAUGAAUUGACGGGGGCCCGCACAAGCGGUGGAGCAUGUGGUUUAAUUCGAUGCAACGCGAAGAACCUUACCUGGUCUUGACAUCCACGGAAGUUUUCAGAGAUGAGAAUGUGCCUUCGGGAACCGUGAGACAGGUGCUGCAUGGCUGUCGUCAGCUCGUGUUGUGAAAUGUUGGGUUAAGUCCCGCAACGAGCGCAACCCUUAUCCUUUGUUGCCAGCGGUCCGGCCGGGAACUCAAAGGAGACUGCCAGUGAUAAACUGGAGGAAGGUGGGGAUGACGUCAAGUCAUCAUGGCCCUUACGACCAGGGCUACACACGUGCUACAAUGGCGCAUACAAAGAGAAGCGACCUCGCGAGAGCAAGCGGACCUCAUAAAGUGCGUCGUAGUCCGGAUUGGAGUCUGCAACUCGACUCCAUGAAGUCGGAAUCGCUAGUAAUCGUGGAUCAGAAUGCCACGGUGAAUACGUUCCCGGGCCUUGUACACACCGCCCGUCACACCAUGGGAGUGGGUUGCAAAAGAAGUAGGUAGCUUAACCUUCGGGAGGGCGCUUACCACUUUGUGAUUCAUGACUGGGGUGAAGUCGUAACAAGGUAACCGUAGGGGAACCUGCGGUUGGAUCACCUCCUUA
rnacentral:rRNA from 1 species